GUGAAUCAUCGAAUCUUAGAACGCAAAUUGCACUCCCUGGUAUUCCGGGGAGUAUGCCUGUUUGAGGGUCGUUAGAAUAAAAAAUCGAGGCGUCGCUCUUUUUUUGAGGGUGAUCGGGCUGGAAUGGAGCCGUCUUUCGUCUGUUAAUACAUGUCAAAGUGGCUUAAAAUUCAUUAAUCCGGUACGUUUAAACCGAAUUUAAGAUCAAUUUUGUUCAAGAACGC
rnacentral:misc_RNA from 1 species